rnacentral:sRNA from 1 species
UUUUCAUGUGUGUGUGCCAUAGUAUGUAUGCGGCAGUCAGGAUGAGUUGCUACAGUGAGUUCUCUCCUUCCAUUGUGUGUGUUGAGAAGUGAGUUCAUCAGGCUGGUGCCUUUACUGGCUGAGCCAUGUUGCUGCAUCUUGAUUUUGCCAUCUGGAACUUGAAGACAAGAGUUAUUGUUGCAUCUGAAGGUGUUGGAUGCCCUCUCAUUUCUUUUCACCCCAUUUCGUAGUCCACUAAACUGCCUUCCAAAGUUUGAUCUUUUUGCACACUUCGAUACUACUAUACCACAACUUUCUCUGCCUCCGUGGAAUCGGGUUAAGCAGCAGGUUGGGUGAAGAAGAGGCAUAUAACAGAUAAUUGAAGGGACAUGCUUUGCAGCUUCAAAUUCAUCUGCAUGGCAUCCAGCCACAGCCACACGGUGAUGGCGAUAAAAUGUGGAUGUGGGAAACAUCAGCUUCCACUUUGCAAAAGCUUAAGAGCCGGCAAUUGAUUGAAUGGAAUGAGAAGAUGAAGAGAAUUAGAAGUGAUAUUCCUAAGGUGUUCUGCAGACCAACACACCAGACAGAAGACAUGGAUUAAGGUUACUGAAGGCAGAUUACUAACGUGGCCUUGAAGGGGGCGGGGGCGGUGGAAUGCACUCGAUGGAAUGUCUGUUGCUUUCUUUUCUACAAAAGAAGAAAGAAUGAAAAAAAAGAGAGAAAAGAAAAAGAAACAACACACACACAGCAUCGGAUGAAUUUUAGAGUUGCUGACAAUUCAGAAACAUGAAGGAACAAGGAGAGAAAAAAAGUGGACAAUGUCCUGGACCAAAGUACGAAAGAGGUGUUUUGAGAAAGGGAUGCCAUAAGAAAUAGCAUAAGAGUCAGUAAAUAUUUGGGGAGAGAUGGAGUGGGAAUGGAGGGAGGGAAGGGAAGAUGGAGAGACGGAGGGAUUGUAGGAGACAAGCAGCAUGAUAUCUCAGGCUUUAGGAAAUAGAUUGCUGGGGUUUACAAAAAGGGCAGGCCACAUUCCAAGGUCAAGAAAGGCAAAAGUUCAUGUGGCUCACCAGACAAUCUUUGAAAAGUAGAAAUCCUAACAAUUUAAUCACAAAUGAGCGUACUAGAGAAGUGAAUGCAGUAUUGACAUUUAGCAAUGCAGCCACAAAGACUCACUCUCCAGACAGCAUCCAGUUAUAGGGCAUCCGCAGAAAUAGAAGGAAACCUGACUCAGCUAGAGGAGGGAGGGAAACAUGGAGGAAUGUCAAGUCGGCUGAGUACAAUGUACAUUUGAAAACACUGCUACAAGGGUUUGUAACUUCUGAAACUAACUUCAUCUACAGUUGCUUCCAUAGAUAGAACCCCUGACUAAUAUGAAAAUGCUUUGCAUGAUACUUUCAUAAUAUGUUUAUCAGCAAGGAGAAAUGUUUCCAAGAGUGACAUGAUAGAACAAGGACAAUCUGGAGCUCAAGUCAUGUGAGCUAAAAAACUGUAAAGAAAAACCCAUUGGUUUGUACAGGGGUAAAGCAUCGAGUGAAUUAAAUAGUAAAAGCCUGGAAGAUCAAAGAGCAUGAGAGUUGUAAGAUUGGCUUGGAAAGGAGAAUGAUGAGAGGCUUAUGAAAUACCAACAGGUCAUUGACCCUGAUUUUAAGGGGAAAUAGUGAGAUUCCUUAAUAUUUACUGUUUACUAAAAUACUGUCAAAUUCUUGCUGGCUUUUAGGAACACUAACCAUAAUGCUUUGUGAGAACCUAUGUAGAAAUGUAGUGUUACUGGAACCAACUUUGACUUAUUGCUAGCCACACAUUCCCUUCCCAAAUGAGGCGUAUGGAGUGAUAGGCAGGAAAGCUGAAGUUGAAGUAUAUCUUUGGUUUCAAAAGAAAUUUAUUGGACAGAAUAAUUUAAGUAAUUCUGGGUCAGACAGAAAAUGUUAAGUUGCAUUAACUUAUCCAAGAUAUGCUUCUAUCCCACACUGAUGGUUGAAAAUUUUUUAUUUAAUCCUCAGUAGUCUUGUACUGUAUUUCACCUGAACCAACAGGACAAUUUUUUGUUCCCUGGAAUUUAAGAUAACACAAUAGUGUCUUGACCUGUGUACUAGGGAGAGAUGAACUCUUAGCUGGCCAUUCUUGGAUUCUGUGGUCUUUCGUGGCAUGUUGUCCUCCUUUGUGUCUUAGUACUUUCGGUUUCAUACACACUAUUCUGGAGGGAGCAGAUCAGGUGCUCCUAGUAAACUGUAGAUAUUCAAUGAUUCAGAACUGUCUGAUGUCCCCACGGGAUAUGUGGCAGGAAGUAAACAACAGCAUUUAGUCUUGCUAGUGCUGUUGACUAUGAUAGCAGACAGCAGAGCAUUCAUUGUUCAUGCUCCUCUUUGCUGGGACCUUCUUAUUGCCUUCUGCUCUACUCCAGUUCCUCCCUGUAGCUGAUGAUGAAGGUGGAUUCCUGGACGGCAAGGUUUGAAUUGAUCCAUCUUUUCCUAAUUGCUAUGGGGAGUGCGGGUUCCCUAAGUUCACAAUUGCUGCGCUUCUGCAGAACACACGGUCCUCAGCUGAAGGAAACCAUAUCAAACGUGCCGGGAGCAUAAGCCAGACUUUCAGAGGUUCAAGGUCAACUCAAUUUCGAGAAGGAAUGUGCAUCUCAGGGCUACUGAGCAGAGCCUUCAAUGCCAAUUUAAUGCAAGUACUCUUCAUCCCGGAACACUAGAAGGCCAGACAUAAAGCUUUGACUUCAAGCCACACACAAAACAUGUGAUUCCAUAUGGGCUUUUGCUGCAUGGUAGCUGUUGAAGGCUUACGUGUGCCAGUUAAAGACAGCUUGAAGGUAACCACUUGAAAGUCAGCAUCAAACAAAG